UAUCAUGUCGUGUAAGUUGGCAUGUUCUAUUCGAAUUGAAAUACAUUGUAACGGUGUAAUUUUGCUUACUUGUUGAAUAGUUAGCAAGUUUUAAUGGAAAUAGAAAAUAUUGGUUAUCUAGACAAAUAUGCUCUUGUUUUUAGUAUAUUUUUAUAACUCUUUUGUAAUGUCUUCGUUAUCAGAGCCCUUCAAAUUAGAAAAGUGAGGAUGAUCUUGUCAAUGCUGAGAUUUUCAUGCAUCAACAGCCACUACAUCUGGAUCAGAUUGAACAAGAAACAGGCAGCAAGGGUUGUCAGAUCAGAAACAGAAUGACACACAAACACAAGAAACUUCACAGGGAGAUCAACAUGCAAUUUGAAGACGUGUGAUAAAAUACAGAGAGGUGAAGUAGUGUGUCUUUCCAGAUCGCCAAAUCAUUCCCCCUUAAAAGGUAAUGAAUAGUGUUAUGACAAAAAAUGUAAACAUUCUUAAUUUCUUUAAAAGUUGUACUUGGGCCACAGUUUUCUGUAUUUCUUACCACAAGAUUACAUUUAUAUUUCUAUACUAAUGAAAUAUGUUUUUCUUUUUCCAAACUUUAUCAAAUGCAAUGAUCGCUAAGAUGAGCCUGAAGAGGAGAUUU